GAUGAAGAACGCAGCGAAAUGCGAUACGUAAUGUGAAUUGCAGAAUUCAGUGAAUCAUCGAAUCUUUGAACGCAUAUUGCGCUCUUUGGUAUUCCGAAGAGCAUGCUUGUUUGAGUAUCAGUAAACACCUCAACCUCUUCUUGAUUUUUCAAAAGGAGGAUGGACUUGAGCUAUCCCAACAACCUUUACCGGUCGGCGGGCGGCUUGAAAUGCAGGUGCAGCUGGACUUUUAUCUGAGCUAAAAGCAUAUCUAUUUAGUCCUCGUCAAACAGGAUUAUUACUUUUGCUGCAGCUAACAUAAAGGAUAAUUGUCCUCUUUGCUGACUGAUGCAGGAUUUUACGACACUUUAUGUGUUGUUCAACUCGAUCUCAAAUCAAGUAAGACUACCCGCUGAACUUAAGCAUAUCAAUAAGCGGAGGA
rnacentral:misc_RNA from 1 species